AUUGAACGCUAGCGGCAUGCUUAACACAUGCAAGUCGAACGGCAGCACGAGGAGCUUGCUCCUUGGUGGCGAGUGGCGGACGGGUGAGUAACGCGUAGGAAUCUGCCUUAUAGAGGGGGAUAACCCGGGGAAACUCGGGCUAAUACCGCAUAAUCUCUACGGAGCAAAGUGGGGGAUCUUUGGACCUCACGCUAUUAGAUGAGCCUGCGUCGGAUUAGUUUGUUGGUGGGGAAUGGCCUACCAAGACUACGAUCCGUAGCUGGUCUGAGCGGACGACCAGCCACACUGGGACUGAGACACGGCCCAGACUCCUACGGGAGGCAGCAGUGGGGAAUAUUGGACAAUGGGGGAAACCCUGAUCCAGCAAUGCCGCGUGUGUGAAGAAGGCC
rnacentral:rRNA from 1 species